UAAGUGCAUUCAAGCGGCUUUAGCAAUGCACUUGCAGCUACAGAGCCAGUAAAGGCAGCCAAUUUCAUCAUCAGAGUUCACUCUGCAAAUCCCACUUUCCAUAAAGGGCAUUGUUUUGUGAUAGCUUAAGGUCAAAACUUGCUCAAUUAAACACUUCUUGGUGUCUGACAUUACAUGAAUUAUGAUAAUUGUUAUAUCUCAUGUGAAAUUAUGCCAUUAUUUUUUUUUCAUAUUCUUACUUUGCAUACACACUUUACGACUGCACCCUCCCCAACCGAAUCUUUACUAGUGCUACAUUCUGUUAUGGGUGAAAACAAUUAUUGAACUAAAAACCAGGCCAAGGAAAGCAGUAUGAUGCCCUGUAAUGUAGGAGGAUGCCGCUAUUGCAGUGUUUAGUCUAGAGCUGAAUUUAAUGAGAAAGGGCAGCAAUGUAGGUCAUCUGUGGAUAUUUGCAGACCAUAAUUGUGUUGUGGUCAUUUUGUUAUCGCAGGAAGCAUCUUCAAAAAGCAGUGCUACAAGGAUGUGAGCAGCAGUUUCCCUUCAACGAACGGGUCAAAUUCAUGGAAGCCACGUGCCUGCUGCUUCUGGCCUACACAAACAUGCAGCCACCAUAGUAAAGUUCUUGCAAAGACAUUCUACACGAACUUGCCCAAAGGCGGAAGGAAGGCACGCACAGAUGGACGCACAGAAAUCAUGGGGCUGCCGUAGAAGCUGUGAAUGAGCAUUAACCUACGCACAGAAAGGAGCGAAGUGGAGCUGUCCAUGGGCCGUGCGCACAGUUUCAUAAGCAGGCUUGCAACACUUUUGACAAAUAUGUUCCUGAAUACAUCUGCCAAAGUGGCAUUUAAAGAAGCAUGUAGUAGUGUACUUCACUGUUUAUUUGGCAUGAAGCAGCAGGUAUGCUUCCGUCAUGAGCAAGUUCACACAGUACAGUGCAUCUACACAUGGCAUGCUACC